rnacentral:lncRNA from 1 species
UCUUAUAAGGCCGUGUUCACACCAAACGCCGUGUAGAGUAAACAUGUUUACAAUUAGUUUAGUGUAGUGUACACUGGUUUCACAUUACAUUUGUUCACAUCUAUACACCUUGUUUAGCUACCUGUACAUAAGAUUUGUUCCCACUUGUAAACUAUAUGUCAUUUAAAUGUUCAUUACGUAGAACUGAAUUCAAAAUUUUUGAAAAUUUUUUCUAGCGGUAAGAGAACAACUAUUUGACUUCAAAAGAGGGGUGGGGGAUGGGAAUGGAAAUAUUCCGAUCCCCAAUUUGAUAAAAAAAAAAAAAAAGGUCAUACAGAUAAUAAAAAAAAUUAUUCUGAAUCAAGAGUUUCCCCAUACAUUAUAGUGUUAAAUAUUGAAAAAAAAAAGUGUUUGAUCACCAGCAUCGAAAAAAAAAAGGAAUAAAAACGUACGUAAGUUAAGUGGUUGCUACUUUAUGAAAGCCAUUUUUAUAAUUUGCAGUAGUUUGAAUAUCACUAGAGAUGUCUCGAUAACGCAUUAGAAAACGUUAGCUGCAACAGCGUGCUUACAGCCGGAAAAAAAAGGAUUGAGAUAUUAUGGAUCACUACAUUUUUAUCUUUUCUGUUCGUUUCAAAUGGUUUUUCUUCUCCAAGGAAUAUUUGGUAAAGGAAUAGGGUAACGUUUUUUUUUUAAUUUAUUUUACGUGUUAUUUAACGGAACUGAGAUACUAGACAAACAGAUCAUUUACCUCACAUUUUUUUUAGUCAUGCAUUUAUGCGUGAAUCGUUUUUUGAGUAAAGACCAGUGGCGAAUAUUUCUGUGUACGUCAAGUCGAUUCGGGAAGACCUUUUCAAAUGAAUUAGGCAGCAACUAUUUACUUAAAUUUUUGUGGAGGGGGAGGGGGGCGUGAGCUUUUGAUUUUUUUUAGGACAAAUUUUGGUGACAAGUCGAAAUCAAUUUUAGCAUUAUAUAUAGUGGCAGCUGAGGGUGAAACAAACAUUUUUUUUCAGGGCCAAAAACUGGAAACAUUUUUUGUUUCCAAAACAAAAUCCAUAGCUCACCACCCCCACCCCCUUGCCUUUACGUUUUAUACUCGACUAUAAUAGCUCCCCCCCCCCCCCGAAAAUCAAUUGGUUGCUGCCUUAUGGGUUCGGCAAUGAUGCUGCUUUGAGUCUUGAUUAGGGGUUAAUAAAGUACGUUAAUUUUUUUUAACCAAAAAAAAAUCUGUAAAAUUUAGACAACUAAUAAUUAUCAAAAUAUAUCAAUUUUACUCAAAAAAGUAGUUCCUCCUUAAAUAUUUACACGAUAAAACUAAUGUCCUAAAUGCAGUUUUGUGUACACUUAACCUACACAUGGCCUACAUUGACUAUCGACUGUGUGUAGGUAAAACAUGAUUUAAACUACAUGUAAACAUUGAGUUUUAUCAAUGGGAACGCAAUUGUGUUUAGUUUACGUGUGAGUUACACAAACACAACACCGAAUUUAGGUCAAUGUGAACACGGCC